rnacentral:rRNA from 1 species
UUGGAGGGCAAGUCUGGUGCCAGCAGCCGCGGUAAUUCCAGCUCCAAUAGCGUAUAUUAAAGUUGUUGCAGUUAAAAAGCUCGUAGUUGAAUUUCGGGAUCAGAGUGUCGGUCGUGCCUCGGUACGCACUGGUAUUAUUGGUUCCUACCUUCUGAAGUACCGCGAUGUCAUUAAUUUGGUGUCGUGGGGAAUCAGGACUGUUACUUUGAAAAAAUUAGAGUGUUUAAAGCAGGCUUACGCUUGAAUACAUUAGCAUGGAAUAAUGAAAUAGGACGUUUGAUUCUAUUUUGUUGGUUUCUAGGAUUGACGUAAUGAUUAAUAGGGAUAGUUGGGGCAUUAGUAUUCAAUUGUCAGAGGUGAAAUUCUUGGAUUUAUUGAAGACUAACUACUGCGAAAGCAUUUGCCAAGGAUGUUUUCAUUAAUCAAGAACGAAAGUUAGGGGAUCGAAGACGAUCAGAUACCGUCGUAGUCUUAACCAUAAACUAUGCCGACUAGGGAUCGGAUGAUGUUAAUUUUUUAAUGACUCAUUCGGCGCCUUACGGGAAAC